UACAGAGGUCCCAAGCGUUGUUCGGAUUCAUUGGGCGUAAAGGGUGUGUAGGUGGCGCCGUAAGUCGGGUGUGAAAUCUCGGGGCUUAACUCCGAAACUGCAUUCGAUACUGCGGUGCUUGAGGACUGGAGAGGAGACUGGAAUUCAUGGUGUAGCAGUGAAAUGCGUAGAGAUCAGGAAGAACACCCGUGGCGCAAGCGACCACCUGGCCGAGACCUGACGCUGAGGCACGAGAGCGUGGGGAGCGAACCGG
rnacentral:rRNA from 1 species